rnacentral:rRNA from 1 species
CACUCCUACGGGAGGCAGCAGUGGGGAAUUUUGGACAAUGGGCGAAAGCCUGAUCCAGCAAUGCCGCGUGAGUGAAGAAGGCCUUCGGGUUGUAAAGCUCUUUUGUCAGGGAAGAAACGGUGAGAGCUAAUAUCUUUUGCUAAUGACGGUACCUGAAGAAUAAGCACCGGCUAACUACGUGCCAGCAGCCGCGGUAAUACGUAGGGUGCAAGCGUUAAUCGGAAUUACUGGGCGUAAAGCGUGCGCAGGCGGUUUUGUAAGUCUGAUGUGAAAUCCCCGGGCUCAACCUGGGAAUUGCAUUGGAGACUGCAAGGCUAGAAUCUGGCAGAGGGGGGUAGAAUUCCACGUGUAGCAGUGAAAUGCGUAGAUAUGUGGAGGAACACCGAUGGCGAAGGCAGCCCCCUGGGUCAAGAUUGACGCUCAUGCACGAAAGCGUGGGGAGCAAACAGGAUUAGAUACCCCUGUAGUCCCA